UGGCGGACGGGUGCGCAACGCGUAUGCAACCCACCCCCGACCCGGGGCAUAGCCGGUGGAAACGCCGGGUAAUGCGCCAUGACGCCGCGGCACGGGGGCAUCCCCCGCGUGGCAAAGCGAGAGCGGGACGGGACGGGCAUGCGUCCCAUUAGCUUGUUGGCGGGGUGAAGGCCCACCAAGGCUACGAUGGGUAGGGGAUCUGAGAGGAAGGUCCCCCACAUUGGAACUGAGACACGGUCCAAACUCCUACGGGAGGCAGCAGUGAGGAAUAUUGGUCAAUGGGCGAAAGCCUGAACCAGCCAUGUCGCGUGAAGGAUUAGAAGGUCCUAUGGAUUGUAAACUUCUUUUGCAGGAGGGUAAAGUGAGCUACGUGUAGUUCAUUGCAAGUACCCUGCGAAUAAGCAUCGGCUAACUCCGUGCCAGCAGCUGC
rnacentral:rRNA from 1 species